GACGAACGCUGGCGGCGUGCUUAACACAUGCAAGUCGAACGGAAAGGCCCCCUUGUGGGGUACUCGAGUGGCGAACGGGUGAGUAACACGUGAGUAACCUACCCUUGACUUUGGGAUAACUUCAGGAAACUGGGGCUAAUACCGGAUAGGAGCUCCUGCUGCAUGGUGGGGGUUGGAAAGUUUCGGCGGUUGGGGAUGGACUCGCGGCUUAUCAGCUUGUUGGUGGGG
rnacentral:rRNA from 1 species